AUUGAACGCUGGCGGCAUGCCUUACACAUGCAAGUCGAACGGCAGCACGGGUGCUUGCUCCUGGUGGCGAGUGGCGAACGGGUGAGUAAUACAUCGGAACAUGUCCUGUAGUGGGGGAUAGCCCGGCGCAAGCCGGAUUAAUACCGCAUACGAUCUACGGAUGAAAGCGGGGGACCUUCGGGCCUCGCGCUCUUGGUUUGGCCGAUGGCUGAUUAGCUAGUUGGUGGGGUAAAGGCCUACCAAGGCGACGAUCAGUAGCUGGUCUGAGAGGACGACCAGCCACACUGGGACUGAGACACGGCCCAGACUACUACGGGAGGCAGCAGUGGGGAAUUUUGGACAAUGGGCGAAAGCCUGAUCCAGCAAUGCCGCGUGUGUGAAGAAGGCCUUCGGGUUGUAAAGCACUUUUGUCCGGAAAGAAAGACUUGGCCCUAAUACGGUCGGGGGAUGACGGUACCGGAAGAAUAAGCACCGGCUAACUACGUG
rnacentral:rRNA from 1 species